UGGGGAAUAUUGCACAAUGGGCGCAAGCCUGAUGCAGCAACGCCGCGUGAACGAUGAAGGUCUUCGGAUCGUAAAGUUCUGUUGCAGGGGAAGAUAAUGACGGUACCCUGUGAGGAAGCCCCGGCUAACUACGUGCCAGCAGCCGCGGUAAUACGUAGGGGGCUAGCGUUAUCCGGAUUUACUGGGCGUAAAGGGUGCGUAGGUGGUCUUUCAAGUCGGUGGUUAAAGGCUACGGCUCAACCGUAGUUAGCCUCCGAAACUGGAAGACUUGAGUGCAGGGGAGGAAAGUGGAAUUCCCAGGGUAGCGGUGAAAUGCGUAAAUAUUGGGAGGAACACCAGUAGCGAAGGCGGCUUUCUGGACUGCAACUGACACUGAGGCACGAAAGCGUGGGUAGCAAACAGG
rnacentral:rRNA from 1 species